rfam:Selaginella moellendorffii unplaced genomic scaffold SELMOscaffold_106, whole genome shotgun sequence.
GCGCUCUUAGUUCAGUCCGGUAGAACGCAGGUCUCCAAAACCUGAUGUUGUAGGACUUUAAGCAUGUUAGCUACGUAAAGAUUACAAAAUUUUAAAUAUUUUAUUGUGGA